rnacentral:rRNA from 1 species
GAUGAACGCUAGCGACAGGCCUAACACAUGCAAGUCGAGGGGUAGCACAGAAUAGCUUGCUAUUUGGGUGACGACCGGCGCACGGGUGAGUAACGCGUAUGCAACCUGCCUAUAAGAGGGGGAUAGCCUUUCGAAAGAAAGAUUAAUACCGCAUAAUACUGUUUAUCUGCAUGGAUGAACAGUUAAACUAUUUGGCUUAUAGAUGGGCAUGCGUUCCAUUAGAUAGUUGGUGAGGUAACGGCUCACCAAGUCAGCGAUGGAUAGGGGUUCUGAGAGGAAGGUCCCCCACACUGGUACUGAGACACGGACCAGACUCCUACGGGAGGCAGCAGUGAGGAAUAUUGGUCAAUGGGCGAGAGCCUGAACCAGCCAAGUCGCGUGAAGGAUGAAGGUCUUAUGGAUUGUAAACUUCUUUUAU